rnacentral:rRNA from 1 species
CAGUCGCCGCGGUAAGACAGAGGAUGCAAGCGUUAUCCGGAAUGAUUGGGCGUAAAGCGUCUGUAGGUGGCUUUUCAAGUCCGCCGUCAAAUCCCAGGGCUCAAUCCUGGACAGGCGGUGGAAGCUACCAAGCUGGAGUACGGUAGGGGCAGAGGGAAUUUCCGGUGGAGCGGUGAAAUGCAUUGAGAUCGGAAAGAACACCAACGGCGAAAGCACUCUGCUGGGCCGACACUGACACUGAGAGACGAAAGCUAGGGGAGCAAAUGGGAUUAGAUACCCCCGUAGUCCCUGUCUCUUAUAC